rnacentral:rRNA from 1 species
GUCGAGGAUAUUUAGCAAUGGGCGAAAGCCUGACUAUGUGACGCCGCGUGAGGGAUGAAGGUCUUCGGAUUGUAAACCUCUUUCGAUGGGGAAGAAAAUUCCGGUUAACUCCCGGAACUGACGGUACCCAGAGAAGAAGCCAUGGCUAACUCUGUGCCAGCAGCCGCGGUAAUACAGAGAUGGCGAGCGUUACUCGGAUUUAUUGGGUGUAAAGGGCAGGUAGGUGGCUAUGCAAGUUGGGGGUGAAAUCCUGUGGCUCAACCACAGAACUGCCUUCAAAACUGCAUGGCUUGAGGCUAGAAUAGGAGAGCGGAAUUCCCGGUGUAAGAGUGAAAUCUGUAGAUAUCGGGAGGAACACCAGUGGCGAAAGCGGCUCUCUGGUCUGGCCCUGACGCUGAUCUGCGAAAGCUAGGGGAGCAAACAGGAUUAGAAACCCUUGUAGUCC